GUGCUCACUUCAGUAGCACAUAUAUUAAAAUUGGAACAAUACAAAGAAAAUUAUCAUGGCUGCUAUAGAAGGAUGACAUGCAAAUUUGUGAAGCAUUGCAUAUUUUU
rnacentral:snRNA from 1 species